UGGGGAAUUUUGGACAAUGGGCGAAAGCCUGAUCCAGCAAUGCCGCGUGUGUGAAGAAGGCCUUCGGGUUGUAAAGCACUUUUGUCCGGAAAGAAAUCCUUGGCUCUAAUACAGUCGGGGGAUGACGGUACCGGAAGAAUAAGCACCGGCUAACUACGUGCCAGCAGCCGCGGUAAUACGUAGGGGUGCAAGCGUUAAUCGGAAUUACUGGGCGUAAAGCGUGCGCAGGCGGUUUGCUAAGACCGAUGUGAAAUCCCCGGGCUCAACCUGGGAACUGCAUUGGUGACUGGCAGGCUAGAGUAUGGCAGAGGGGGGUAGAAUUCCACGUGUAGCAGUGAAAUGCGUAGAGAUGUGGAGGAAUACCGAUGGCGAAGGCAGCCCCCUGGGCCAAUACUGACGCUCAUGCACGAAAGCGUGGGGAGCAAACAGGAUUAGAUACCCUGGUAGUCCACGCCCUAAACGAUGUCAACUAGUUGUUGGGGAUUCAUUCCUUAGUAACGUAGCUAACGCGUGAAGUUGACCGCCUGGGGAGUACGGUCGCAAGAUUAAAACUCAAAUGAAUUGACGGGGUCAUAGCUGUUUCCU
rnacentral:rRNA from 1 species